rnacentral:rRNA from 1 species
AUAUGCCUUAUGGUGGGGGACAACAGUUGGAAACGAUUGCUAAUACCGCAUAAUGUCUACGGACCAAAGGGGGGGAUCUUCGGACCUCUCGCCAUUUGAUUAGCCCAAGUGAGAUUAGCUAGUUGGUAAGGUAAUGGCUUACCAAGGCGACGAUCUCUAGCUGGUUUGAGAGGAUGAUCAGCCACACUGGGACUGAGACACGGCCCAGACUCCUACGGGAGGCAGCAGUGGGGAAUAUUGCACAAUGGGCGAAAGCCUGAUGCAGCCAUGCCGCGUGUGUGAAGAAGGCCUUCGGGUUGUAAAGCACUUUCAGUCGUGAGGAAAGGUAUUCGUUUAAUAAACGGAUACUGUGACGUUAGCGACAGAAGAAGGACCGGCUAACUCCGUGCCAGCAGCCGCGGUAAUACGGAGGGUCCGAGCGUUAAUCGGAAUUACUGGGCGUAAAGCGUGCGUAGGCGGUUGAUUAAGUCAGAUGUGAAAUCCCGGGGCUCAACCUCGGAACUGCAUUUGAAACUGGUCAACUAGAGUAUUGUAGAGGGUGGUGGAAUUUCCAGUGUAGCGGUGAAAUGCGUAGAGAUUGGAAGGAACAUCAGUGGCGAAGGCGGCCACCUGGACAAAUACUGACGCUGAGGCACGAAAGCGUGGGGAGCGAACAG